UACGGAGGGUGCGAGCGUUGUCCGGAAUUACUGGGCGUAAAGGGCGCGUAGGCGGCCUGUUAAGUCGAACGUGAAAUCCCCGGGCUCAACCCGGGAACUGCGUCCGAUACUGGCAGGCUUGAAUCCGGGAGAGGGAUGCGGAAUUCCAGGUGUAGCGGUGAAAUGCGUAGAUAUCUGGAGGAACACCGGUGGCGAAGGCGGCAUCCUGGACCGGCAUUGACGCUGAGGCGCGAAAGCCAGGGGAGCAAACGGG
rnacentral:rRNA from 1 species